rnacentral:rRNA from 1 species
AACGGAUAAAAGCUACCCCGGGGAUAACAGGCUUAUCUCCCCCAAGAGUUCACAUCGACGGGGAGGUUUGGCACCUCGAUGUCGGCUCAUCGCAUCCUGGGGCUGUAGUCGGUCCCAAGGGUUGGGCUGUUCGCCCAUUAAAGCGGUACGCGAGCUGGGUUCAGAACGUCGUGAGACAGUUCGGUCCCUAUCCGUCGUGGGCGUAGGAAAUUUGAGAGGAGCUGUCCUUAGUACGAGAGGACCGGGAUGGACAUACCUCUGGUGUACCAGUUGUCGUGCCAACGGCAUAGCUGGGUAGCUAUGUGUGGACGGGAUAAGUGCUGAAAGCAUCUAAGCAUGAAGCCCCCCUCAAGAUGAGAUUUCCCAACUUCGGUUAUAAGAUCCCUCAAAGAUGAUGAGGUUAAUAGGUUCGAGGUGGAAGCAUGGUGACAUGUGGAGCUGACGAAUACUAAUCGAUCGAAGACUUAAUCAA